rnacentral:rRNA from 1 species
UAGGGAAUCUUCCGCAAUGGACGCAAGUCUGACGGAGCAACGCCGCGUGAGUGAAGAAGGAUUUCGGUUCGUAAAACUCUGUUGUUAGAGAAGAACAGCGCAUAGAGUAACUGGUAUGCGUGUGACGGUAUCUAACCAGAAAGCCACGGCUAACUACGUGCCAGCAGCCGCGGUAAUACGUAGGUGGCAAGCGUUGUCCGGAUUUAUUGGGCGUAAAGCGAGCGCAGGCGGUCAAUUAAGUCUGAUGUGAAAGCCCCCGGCUCAACCGUGGAGGGUCAUUGGAAACUGGUUGACUUGAGUGCAGAAGAGGAGAGUGGAAUUCCAUGUGUAACGGUGAAAUGCGUAGAUAUAUGGAGGAACACCAGUGGCGAAGGCGACUCUCUGGUCUAUAACUGACGCUGAGGCUCGAAAGCGUGGGUAGCAAACAGG